rnacentral:rRNA from 1 species
AGUGAUGUCUGGGAAACUGCCUGAUGGAGGGGGAUAACUGCUGGAAACGGUAGCUAAUACCGCAUAACGUCGCAAGACCAAAGAGGGGGACCUUCGGGCCUCUUGCCAUCGGAUGUGCCCAGAUGGGAUUAGCUAGUAGGUGGGGUAACGGCUCACCUAGGCGACGAUCCCUAGCUGGUCUGAGAGGAUGGCCAGCCACACUGGAACUGAGACACGGUCCAG